rnacentral:rRNA from 1 species
ACACGUAGGAUGCAAGCGUUAUUCGGAUUUACUGGGCGUAAAGCGCGUGUAGGCGGUUAGGAGAGUUGGAUGUGAAAGCUCCCGGCUUAACUGGGAGAGGUCGUUCAAAACUUCCUGACUAGAGUUUGGUAGAGGAAAAUGGAAUUCCGGGUGUAGUGGUGAAAUGCGUAGAUAUCCGGAGGAACACCAGUGGCGAAAGCGAUUUUCUGGACCGAUACUGACGCUCAGACGCGAAAGCUAGGGUAGC